rnacentral:tRNA from 1 species
CACUGGGUGACUGAAGAGGUAAGUGUAGGCCUUUUAAUCCUAUAAUGGCGCUUCCAACCGCCCCUAGUGA